rnacentral:rRNA from 1 species
CCUACGGGAGGCAGCAGUGGGGAAUAUUGCACAAUGGGGGAAACCCUGAUGCAGCGACGCCGCGUGAAGGACGAAGUAUUUCGGUAUGUAAACUUCUAUCAGCAGGGGAGAAAAUGACGGUACCUGACUAAGAAGCCCCGGCUAACUACGUGCCAGCAGCCGCGGUAAUACGUAGGGGGCAAGCGUUAUCCGGAUUUACUGGGGGUAAAGGGAGCGUAGGCGGUUUAGCAAGUCAGAAGUGAAAGGCCGGGGCUCAACUCCGGGACUGCUUUUGAAACUGUUGAACUGGAGUGCUGGAGAGGUAAGCGGAAUGCGUAGUGUAGCGGUGAAAUGCGUAGAUAUUAGGAGGAACACCAGUGGCGAAGGCGGCUUACUGGAGGGUAAAUGACGCUGAGGCUCGAAAGCGUGGGGAGCAAACAGGAUUAGAUACCCUAGUAGUC